AAAACAUUUUCAUGUCUUAUAGAUAGUCUUAGGAAAGAAAGAAGUUCGUAGCAAAAGACCAUAUUUGUAUACUUGGAAAGUACAGCAUUGCUUGGUAAAUUAUUUAAAAGAAAUUUCCUUAAACAUUUUUACAGUCUUACCAAAAAGAAUCUAGUAUCUUCCUACAGAAAUUGUUAUUUGGGUAACUUGAUUAGUAAAUUGGUUAGAAAUAAAUAUCCUAUUAUACAUUUGUGGCAUAACGAUUGACUAAUGGUCUUCAGUAACUAUUAUUUAUUUCUUGCCUCAUUGCAUGCCAAUGAUAUCUUUUUUUAGAGGCCUAGAGAAUUUCUAGUUUUAUUCUUUUUUCACAAGGAGAGUCUAAGAUAAAUUAAUUUUAUAAAUUUUGAUUCCAGAAUGAAGCACUUUUUAUUCACAAAGUAUGGAACUGGUAAAACACUUAAUUUGGGACACACCAAGAAAACAGUAAGAUUGCUAUACAACACUUAGAAUUACUAUAGUUGAUGUCUACAAUCCAUCCCAACCUUGGAAAUCCAUUCUUUCUGCAUGGAGAAUUAAAGAAUCAUUUUGGCCAAGUGGGAGAGAAGGAACUGUUUAAUCCUUUCAAAGAAUCUUCUGACCUUAAGGAAACAAUAAUUAUCUCCUGAUGAGGUAAAUAAUAUUGUAUUUCCAAAAUUGUUUGCCCUUCUCAUGAGAGCAUAACUUGUACUCUGGGAGCUCAACGGAGCUGUUUAAACUCGGAUUUAUUAGCCAAAGUGUAAUGGACAAAUGUAUAACCCUUGAUUUCUGUUUAUCUAGCCAAGAAGGCAGUUAUAUCAUAGCAAACCACUUCUUGCUGCUCAUAUGUAAAUACUGUGGGUUGCAUAGAAUAGCCUGUGACUAGGCUGAAAGAAAAGCUUACUGGAUUUUUAGAAAUGACACAGCUGGAUUUAGGAUAGGUUUUACUGUCUGAGUUUGGUAAUUCAGGCUUCUAUCUUCAAAAUCUAUUACAAAGACUGAUAACCAUUUUUGUUGAAGUAUCCUGCUCAGUAUCUUAAAUGCUCCUGUCAUUUCAAAUGCACCAAAAUGAAUGGGAAAGGCUAAUUCUAUUCAAACUACAGACAAAAUUCUGCAAGAAACUUCCUGAUGAACAAAAUCUUGGCAAUAGUGAAGAUGUGGAUCAAAGAUUAAUACCUUAAGUCCUCAGUUCAUCUACCCAUGGAUGAAAGCAGGGACUAAGAGAAAAGUGAGCGCUGACAGUUGGUGGCCCUGUGAAUUAAGACUUAGUGUUGCUAGGGUUGUUUUGAUACUCCCAACUAAGCUCUGAUGAUCUCCCAUUGAAUAUAAAAAUUGUGCAAGCACAAACAUCAAGCAAGGCCUCUUGUGAUCAUGAUAUAAAAAGAACAAAAAUGUGACAACUUAAUAACCAUGUCUAAGCACAGAAAAAACAUUGUAUAAACAAAAAUAAUAAACACCCAUUUUCUGACUAAAAUAUGUAACUA
rnacentral:lncRNA from 12 species